GACGAACGCUGGCGGCGUGCUUAACACAUGCAAGUCGAGCGGUAAGGCUCCUUCGGGAGUACACGAGCGGCGAACGGGUGAGUAACACGUGAGUAAUCUGCCCUUCACUUCGGGAUAACCACCGGAAACGGUGGCUAAUACCGAAUACGACCAGUCUUCGCAUGAGGUGCUGGUAGAAAGUCUUUUCGGUGAAGGAUGUGCUCGCGGCCUAUCAGCUUGUUGGUGGGGUAAUGGCCUACCAAGGCUUCGACGGGUAGCCGGCCUGAGAGGGUGACCGGCCACACUGGGACUGAGACACGGCCCAGACUCCUACGGGAGGCAGCAGUGGGGAAUAUUGGACAAUGGGCGAAAGCCUGAUCCAGCAACGCCGCGUGAGGGAUGACGGCCUUCGGGUUGUAAACCUCUUUCAGUACCGACGAAGCGCCCUGUCGGGUGGUGACGGUAGGUACAGAAGAAGGACCGGCCAACUACGUG
rnacentral:rRNA from 1 species